rnacentral:pre_miRNA from 11 species
GGAUGCAUGCACUUCACUUUUGUCUCAGCCUUAUUGGGAAAAGCAAGGUUUUCCCUGCUCUUCCACUUGCUUUUCCCAAUAGGCUGAGACAAAAGUGAAGUACAGCUUACUU